UACGAAGGGGGCUAGCGUUGUUCGGAAUUACUGGGCGUAAAGCGUAUGCAGGCGGAUCGUUAAGUCGGGGGUGAAAUCCCGAGGCUCAACCUCGGAACUGCCUUCGAUACUGGCGACCUUCGAGUCCGGGAGAGGUGAGUGGAACUCCGAGUGUAGAGGUGAAAUUCGUAGAUAUUCGGAAGAACACCAGUGGCGAAGGCGGCUCACUGGCCCGGUACUGACGCUGAGAUACGAAAGCGUGGGGAGCGAACAGG
rnacentral:rRNA from 1 species